rnacentral:rRNA from 1 species
AGCGAACGCUGGCGGCAGGCCUAACACAUGCAAGUCGAACGAACCUUUCGGGGUUAGUGGCGGACGGGUGAGUAACACGUGGGAACGUGCCUUUAGGUUCGGAAUAACUCAGGGAAACUUGUGCUAAUACCGAAUGUGCCCUUCGGGGGAAAGAUUUAUCGCCUUUCGAGCGGCCCGCGUCUGAUUAGCUAGUUGGUUGAGGUAAUGGCUCACCAAGGCGACGAUCAGUAGCUGGUCUGAGAGGAUGAUCAGCCACAUUGGGACUGAGACACGGCCCAAACUCCUACGGGAGGCAGCAGUGGGGAAUCGUGCGCAAUGGGCGAAAGCCUGACGCAGCCAUGCCGCGUGAAUGAUGAAGGUCUUAGGAUUGUAAAAUUCUUUCACCGGGGACGAUAAUGACGGUACCCGGAGAAGAAGCCCCGGCUAACUUCGUG